CACCGGCACCACAUUUGCUCAGGCCAAUCUACACCCCAUGGCCAUUAAAAGUUAUUCAAAUCAUGACGCUGCACCCCACGGUUUACGUUCUAGGGGGCGCCAAAAAUAACCCUAAAAUCCACAUAUUUAAAAGUCUUAUAACUUUUUAUUUUUGUCCUCACUGGCCUCCAAGUUUUCUAGGAUGAUGCAAUGUCCAGCCAUCAACACAUUUGUGAAGGAAUUUUUACUCCCCAAAAGAGCGCCCCCCCAUGGCAGGAGAAAAAAGUCCAUUUUUUCUUGUCCCCUAAGGUGAAAAUACACAUUGUUGAGUGUCACGCCUUUACGCUUUGGCAAAAUGACACAAAAAUUGACACACACAUGUAUCUCAAUAAGAUCUACAAAAAAGUCUAUGAGCGCGUAUCUGUCAAAUGUACGGUUAAAGGGUUAUUCCGCAUUUUUUGCCGAUACGCACACAUUGGAAUGUGGCUAACUCCUCCGAAGGCUUUCGUUCCACCGGCACCACAUUUGCUCAGGCCAAUCUACACCCCAUGGCCAUUAAAAGUUAUUCAAAUCAUGACGCUGCACCCCACGGUUUAGGUUCUAGGGGGCGCCAAAAAUAACCCUAAAAUCCACAUAUUUCAAAGUCUUAUAACUUUUUAUUUUUGUCCUCACUGGCCUCCAAGUUUUCUAGGAUGAUGCAAUGUCCAGCCAUCAACACAUUUGUGAAGGAAUUUUUACUCCCCAAAAGAGCGCCCCCCCCAUGGCAGGAGAAAAAAGUCCAUUUUUUCUUGUCCCCUAAGGUGAAAAUACAUAUUGUUGAGAUUCACGCCUAUACCCUUUGUCAUAUUGACACAAGAUUUGACAAUCACGUGCCUUGCCUGGUAUCAUUUUUUUCAGCACAACCUCACCUGUGCGAAUUUACAGUUAUUUUAUCAUGUUGACAUACUGAAUUUACACAAUGGACCCAAAUUCACACACAAAACAUAAAAUCCGAGUGGAAAAAAG